AUGGCGUUAAACUAUAACCUGUAAAAUUCUACUUGUUGAAUACUACCAGGAGGCAUAAAAAAAGUCAAUAAUUUUUGGUCCGAAAAAAACAGUGUUUAACAACAAUUACUUGGAUAUGUUACAACAGUUUUUGCCGCCCCGAUUUAAUCAAUGAUGGAAUUUUUAACACUGUUGUGUUUCAACACGAUGGAGUACCUCCCCCCCUUUUGUAAAUAUCGUUCGCGAUUAUUUAAAUCAAGCCGUUUCAGACAGAUGGAUAAGCCGAGGAUAACAAAUACUUCGCAAAGCUCGUUCACUGGACUGUACGUCGCUGGAUUUUUUCGCUUGAGAGUUCAUCAAAUUUAAG